rnacentral:rRNA from 1 species
GACGAACGCUGGCGGCGUGCUUAACACAUGCAAGUCGAACGAUGAAGCCGGAGCUUGCUCCGGUGGAUUAGUGGCGAACGGGUGAGUAACACGUGAGUAACCUGCCCUUGACUCUGGGAUAACUGCGGGAAACUGUAGCUAAUACCGGAUACGACCCUCGGCGGCAUCGCCAGGGGGUGGAAAGAAUUUCGGUCAAGGAUGGACUCGCGGCCUAUCAGCUAGUUGGUGAGGUAACGGCUCACCAAGGCGACGACGGGUAGCCGGCCUGAGAGGGUGAGCGGCCACACUGGGACUGAGACACGGCCCAGACUCCUACGGGAGGCAGCAGUGGGGAAUAUUGCACAAUGGGCGCAAGCCUGAUGCAGCAACGCCGCGUGAGGGAUGACGGCCUUCGGGUUGUAAACCUCUUUUAGUAGGGAAGAAGCGAAAGUGACGGUACCUGCAGAAAAAGCACCGGCUAACUACGUGCCAGCCGCCGCGGUAA